UCCGCAUUAGUGUAGGGGUUAACAUACUCCGCUUUCACCUGAGCGCACCGGAGAGCCCCGGGUUCGAUUCCCGGAUGCGGAA
rfam:Blumeria graminis f. sp. hordei DH14, WGS project CATH01000000 data, contig: 001925